GAUGAAGAACGUAGCGAAAUGCGAUAAGUAAUGUGAAUUGCAGAAUUUAGUGAAUCAUCGAAUCUUUGAACGCACAUUGCGCCCCGUGGUAUUCCGCGGGGCAUGCCUGUUCGAGCGUCAUUAUCACCCAUCACGCCUGGCGUGGUCUUGGGGUUGGCCCGGAGAGGCCUCCUCUAAACGCAGUGGCGGCGCCGCUCGGCUCUCAGCGUAGUAAUACUCUCGCUCGGGACGUCGGACGGUUGCCCGCCAGCAACCCCCAACUUUCUUAAAGGUUUGACCUCGGAUCAGGUAGGGAUACCCGCUGAACUUAAGCAUAUCAAUAAGCGGAGGA
rnacentral:misc_RNA from 1 species